UGCAGCCUUGUCAAAUUCGGUGCUCACCUGUCCUGUGGUGGGGACCGGCCCUGUGGCUGCCACAAAAAACUUGUAGUUCAUGGGCCCCAGGUCUAUGCCGUUGGACCUGGGGAUAAAAGCAUGCUACAGAUAAUG